rnacentral:rRNA from 1 species
UACGGGGGGGAGCAAGCGUUGUUCGGAAUUACUGGGCGUAAAGGGUGCGUAGGCGGGAGAUUAAGUUAGUUUGUGAAAGGCCUGGGCUUAACCUAGGAAUUGCAAUUAAGACUGGUCAUCUAGAGUUGAGUAGAGGGGAGCGGAAUUUCCGGUGUAGCGGUGAAAUGCGUAGAUAUCGGAAGGAACACCUGUAGCGAAGGCGGCUCUCUGGACUCAAACUGACGCUGAGGCACGAAAGCGUGG